GCCCGGCGUGAUGGCUCACGCCUGUAAUCCCAGCACUUUGGGAGGCUGAGGCGGGUGGAUCACCUGAGGUCAAGAAUUUGAGACCAGCCUGACCAAUAUGGUGAAACCCUGUCUUUAAAAAAACAAUAAUAACAAAUGAAGUUCAGCACCAAUAUGGUGACCUCCCAGGAGCAGGGAACCACCAGGUUACCUAAGGAGGGGUGAACUGGCCCAGGUCAGAAACGGAGCAGAUCAAAACUCCCGUGCUAAUCAGUAGUGGGAUCGUGCCUAUGAAUAGCCACUGUAUUCCAGCCUGGGCAACAUAGCGAGGCCUCGUCUCU
rnacentral:SRP_RNA from 1 species